UACAGAGGUCUCAAGCGUUGUUCGGAUUCAUUGGGCGUACAGGGUGCGUAGGUGGCGCUGUAAGUCGGGUGUGAAAUUUCGGAGCUUAACUCCGUAACUGCAUUCGAUACUGCGGUGCUUGAGGACUGGAGAGGAGACUGGAAUUCAUGGUGUAGCAGUGAAAUGCGUAGAGAUCAUGAGGAAGACCAGUGGCGAAGGCGGGUCUCUGGACAGUUCCUGACACUGAGGCACGAAGGCCAGGGGAGCAAACGGG
rnacentral:rRNA from 1 species